rnacentral:rRNA from 1 species
AGUGAACGCUGGCGGCGUGCUUAACACAUGCAAGUCGAACGGUAACAGGAAAUAGCUUGCUAUUUUGCUGACGAGUGGCGCACGGGUGAGUAAACUAUAGUUAAUGUACCCCAAAGACUGGGAUAGCCACUGGAAACGGUGAUUAAUACUAGAUACACCUUCUUAUCAUAAGGUAAGAAGGGAAAUGUCUUUUCGCUUUGGGAUCAGACUAUAUCCUAUCAGCUAGUUGGUGAGGUAAUGGCUCACCAAGGCAAUGACGGGUAGCGGUUCUGAGAGGAUGAUCCGCCACACUGGUACUGAGACACGGACCAGACUCCUACGGGAGGCAGCAGUGAGGAAUAUUGCACAAUGGGGGGAACCCUGAUGCAGCAACGCCGCGUGGAGGAUGACGCAUUUCGGUGUGUAAACUCCUUUUAUAUGUCAAGAAAAUGACGGUAGCAUAUGAAUAAGCACCGGCUAACUCCGUG